rnacentral:lncRNA from 1 species
GUCACUUAAGUAUCCAAAUAAACCGGCGCCCCGAGAGCAAUGCUCGACCAGGGACCUUACCUCCGGCAAUCAACUGAACUCAGCCCAGAGAGCAAUGCUCGAUCAGGGCAAACAAAUCCAUAAUAACCUUAUGUCCAUAAUCAUUACCGGUGCGCACGCGGUCCUGAUGUAACCCAUCAGGCGGCAUGUUCUACAAGCCACGUUUCCCA